rnacentral:lncRNA from 1 species
UUCAUUUCCAUCUCCUUCUCCCAAAUAAACUAAACCCUAGAUUCCCUCUCACCCCAUGCCUACUCCGCCUCUCUCCGACGCCGGGAAAUUGCCUUACGGCGGCGGAGCAUCACCAAAUUCACCCUCAACAAUUCUUAGCCUCCCCUUUACACUAUCCUACUAUCAAUUUCCUCUAAAUCACCACUCAAGUAUGUCAAUUCCACAUCUGAAACCCAAACCCUAGUUCACCCAAACUCCUCCAAAUCUACUAAAAAUUACACCCCACAACCACCACCCCCCUAAACUCAAAUCCCUUAUUGAUUUCCCAAGACAACUCCACAAAAUUUCGGAAUUUCAAAUCUAAGAGGCAUUUAGUUUGUUCAAAAAAGCUCUCGAGUUCGCUAUUUCCUCAGUGUUCAAGUUCAAAGGCUUGUUCUCUAAUGCCUUCUUGGAGAUUUAGGCUCUCCUGAGUAUUUUCUUUCAAGGCGAUCCGGUCAAAAUCCAUCCAAGGAUGGAUCCCUUGAAAUAAAAGACCUUUGUUGGUCAAUUAGCGCGGAGAAGGACAUCUUAGGCCAUCUUAUGUUUCUUUUAUUUCAUAAAUGGUAAGGUAUCACCAUUGUCCUCUCCAUUCUCUUCUUUUUAGGCUCGAGUUAGUAAUUUCUUUUUUUAGUUCGUUAAUCUGUUUGUUUUUUUUGAGAGUCGUCCCUGCUUCAAUCCUUGGUCAUGUUGAAAAAUUAGUCUUUAUUAGGGGUUUAUUAACUUGGGUUAAUUCAUCUUCAUUUAGUUUUUUUUUGUUGUUUGGAAUCAUUUGUUAGUAUUCCUAAAUUGCCUAAUUAGUUUGACUCUUCAAUAGUUUGGUUUAAUUAAUGUUUGCCUAAUUAGCGUAGGGUUAGUUUUUAUUUCAUUCAGUGGUCAACUGGGUUCAUUUUAGGGUUUAGGUUUAUUUUUAAAUUUUCAGACAUUUAAAAUUUAAUUACACUGUCCAGAUUUGUUUGCUGUUUGAUUUGUCCAUUGAUAUUAGCUUGCUUGUUUUUGUUUUCCUUAAUUUGUAAGUCACUUGAAACUUAUAGGGUUCAAUUGAACAAAAGGAAACUUAGAGCGGUCAUUUGAGGCGUGGACAAAAGGAAAAUGAGAUAAGAUCAUGUCAGAAGGUUCUAGAAUAUGGGCAGUUGGCCCUAUUUGGCAUGUACAAAAAUACUGAAACCAAUCAGAGGCAGCCAACUGUCCAAUUCUGUUGAAAGAUAUUCUUUGUAGGCUGAAGAGAAUAAUUCCCUUAUCCUUUUCAGCGCAUGGCAUUUUGAUGCAUUCAUUAGAGAUGGAUUAUCGAACCCUAAAAACACUCCAAAAAGGCUUCAGCUACUGUUUCAUUGAUAGCUGGUUUUAUUUUCUUCUGUUUUUUAGAAAAACUUGAAAACUCUCUCUGGGAUUUCUGGUUUUCUGAUUCGAGUCUUUCUUAAGCUAAAGUUGUGUACUGCUGUGAUUUGCAAUUGUCUCCUACUUAUUGCUGAAGUUCUUACUAUACUUUAUUCUUUGCUGUAUCCAAGUACCUCAUGAACUUUGAGUGACAAAAGAUGAAGUUGUAACAUGUUGUUUUGAAAUUUAACUUCAGAUUAUUUUCUUUGCCUAUGAUGUAUUCUAUGUAUUUAGCUUUAUAGUUUCUUUUUAGCUUUGUUUAAG